UGCCGAGUCGCCAAGUUGGUAAGGCAUCUGACUCUGGAUCAGACAUUCGUGGGUUCGAGUCCUACCUCGGCAG
rnacentral:tRNA from 1 species